AUGGCUGUCGUCAGCUCGUGCCGUGAGGUGUUGCCUUAAGUGGCGCAACGAGCGCAACCCCUGUCCUUAGUUGCCAGCGGGUAAUGCCGGGAACUCUAGGGAGACUGCCGGUGCCAAACCGGAGGAAGGUGGGGAUGACGUCAAGUCAUCAUGCCCCUUAUGUCCAGGGCUGCACACAUGCUACAAUGCGCGAUACAGAGGGUUGCGAUCCCGCAAGGGGGAGCGAAUCCCAAAAAGUCGCGCUCAGUUCGGAUCGGGGUCUGCAACUCGACCCCGUGAAGUCGGAGUCGCUAGUAAUCGCAGAUCAGCAAUGCUGCGGUGAAUACGUUCCCGGGCCUUGUACACACCGCCCGUCACACCACGAAAGUGGGCAACACCCGAAGCCGGUGGCCUAACCCUUGUGGAGGGAGCUGUCGAAGGUGGGAUCGGUGAUUGGGGUGAAGUCGUAACAAGGUAGCCGUACCGGAAGGUGCGGCUGGAUCACCUCCUUUCUAAGGAGUAUGUGCUGGAUCAUUCCGAUCCGGUCACUCCCAAGUUGACCACUAGCUACUCGGCUGUCCGGUACAUCGUCCUUUUGCAGGUUUCGACCUCGAGGGCGUUGCGCAGGUCAGUUGGACAACCUCUGUUCCGUUUUCCGGGGGCACCUUGCCGGUGCUCCCGAUCAGUCACUCCGGUGGCUGAGGGAAAAGGUAAAGCCGACCUAUCGGGUCGGCCUCUUGCCGUCCCGGCUCAUAAACUGCUUCACGGCAGGGUGAGUCGUGCCCUUUGAGAAUUCCAUAGCGAGCACGAGCAUCUUUUGUUUUCCAAGCUAUGAAGAGCCAACGGUGGAUGCCUUGGCGCCUGAAGCCGAUGAAGGACGUGGGUGGCUGCGAUAAGCCACGGGGAGCUGCCUACCAAGCUUCGAUCCGUGGAUGUCCGAAUGGGGAAACCCGG
rnacentral:sRNA from 1 species